GAUGAACGCUGGCGGCAUGCCUAAUACAUGCAAGUCGAACGAGAGGAAGGAAAGCUUGCUUUCCUGAAUCUAGUGGCGAACGGGUGAGUAACACGUAGGUAACCUGCCCAUGUGCCCGGGAUAACUUCUGGAAACGGAUGCUAAAACCGGAUAGGUAGCAGACAAGCAUUUGACUGCUAUUAAAGUGGCCUUGGCCAUGAACAUGGAUGGACCUGCGGUGCAUUAGCUGGUUGGUGAGGUAACGGCCCACCAAGGCGACGAUGCAUAGCCGGCCUGAGAGGGCGGACGGCCACAUUGGGACUGAGACACGGCCCAAACUGCUACGGGAGGCAGCAGUAGGGAAUUUUCGUCAAUGGGGGGAACCCUGAACGAGCAAUGCCGCGUGAGUGAGGAAGGUCUUCGGAUCGUAAAGCUCUGUUGUAAGAGAAAAACGGCACUCAUAGGGAAUGAUGAGUGAGUGAUGGUAUCUUACCAGAAAGUCACGGCUAACUACGUGCCAGCCGCCACAGUAA
rnacentral:rRNA from 1 species